GUUGAAGUGAGCACUCCAGCGGACGCCAGGCACACCUUUCAUUCCCGGAUCUCAUUCAUCAUUGCCUGGAAUCUCCCCAUUCCGAGUGUACUUGAGCGCUCUGUGAUGACAUCACGCACAACUUUAAUCAGGAAGGAGCUUGCUUCUGUUUUUUAGUGAAUUCUUCGUUCAGUGAGUUAUCGCUUCCAGGGAACAAGGGGUGCUUUCUCAGGGAUGGCUCAGCUCGGUGCUAUCAUCGCUGUCACAGUAGCAUUGUUCAUUGGUUCACUCUUCUCUGCUAUACAUAAACUUGAAGAGGGGCACACUGGAGUUUACUACAGGGGGGGUGCUUUAUUAACUUCUACCAGUGGACCAGGCUUUCAUCUCAUGCUGCCAUUUAUAACUUCGUAUAAAUCAGUGCAG